GAGAGGACCAGAGUGGACGAACCUCUGGUGUACCGGUUGUGACGCCAGUCGCAUCGCCGGGUAGCUAUGUUCGGAAGGGAUAACCGCUGAAAGCAUCUAAGCGGGAAGCCUACCUCAAGAUAAGAUUUCCCUAGGACUUUAUGUCCUCUAAAGAGCCGUUCGAGACUAGGACGUUGAUAGGUUGGAUGUGGAAGCAUAGUGAUAUGUGAAGCUGACCAAUACUAAUUGCUCGUGAGGCUUGACUAUACAACACCCAAGCAGUUG
rnacentral:rRNA from 1 species